CCAGUCAGGUGGGACUACCCGCUGAGCUUA
rnacentral:rRNA from 1 species